rnacentral:misc_RNA from 1 species
AAGUCGUAACAAGGUUUCCGUAGGUGAACCUGCGGAAGGAUCAUUAACACGUAUCCAAACCUUAAAACAACCCUGUGAACCUUCAGCGUAUUCUUGGACAAAUCAGGCGCUAAAGAAUUACAGAUUUUGAUUUUGGGAAGUUCUGUGUGUACGUGGACGCUGCAAUUGAGCGCUAGAGAAAGCACCCUGGUACCCUAGAGCACUCCCCUAUCGCUGUAUGUCCACACGACCGCGCGACCGGGGUGAAAGCCCCUACGUCAUCCCUAUGUACCUACCGGGACUUGGCCAAAGCUGACUCCGUCAUAAAUCGAACAACUGUUAACAAUGGAUAUCUUGGUUCUC